rnacentral:rRNA from 1 species
UGGGGAAUAUUGGACAAUGGGCGAAAGCCUGAUCCAGCCAUGCCGCGUGUGUGAAGAAGGUCUUCGGAUUGUAAAGCACUUUAAGUUGGGAGGAAGGGCAGUAAGCGAAUACCUUGCUGUUUUGACGUUACCGACAGAAUAAGCACCGGCUAACUCUGUGCCAGCAGCCGCGGUAAUACAGAGGGUGCAAGCGUUAAUCGGAAUUACUGGGCGUAAAGCGCGCGUAGGUGGUUCGUUAAGUUGAAUGUGAAAGCCCCGGGCUCAACCUGGGAACUGCAUCCAAAACUGGCGAGCUAGAGUAGGGCAGAGGGUGGUGGAAUUUCCUGUGUAGCGGUGAAAUGCGUAGAUAUCGGAAGGAACACCAGUGGCGAAGGCGACCACCUGGGCUCAUACUGACACUGAGGUGCGAAAGCGUGGGGAGCAAACAGG